rnacentral:rRNA from 1 species
UACGUAGGGUGCAAGCGUUAAUCGGAAUUACUGGGCGUAAGGCGUGCGCAGGCGGUGAUGUAAGACAGAUGUGAAAUCCCCGGGCUCAACCUGGGAACUGCAUUUGUGACUGCAUCGCUGGAGUGCGGCAGAGGGGGAUGGAAUUCCGCGUGUAGCAGUGAAAUGCGUAGAUAUGCGGAGGAACACCGAUGGCGAAGGCAAUCCCCUGGGCCUGCACUGACGCUCAUGCACGAAAGCGUGGGGAGCAAACAGG